ACUGUACUUAAUAAAAAACCCUUUGAAUCCCCAAAACCCAAAUCAAAACACCCUUCUCUCUUUCUCUCUCUCUCUCUCUCUCUGCAUUGUGAUUGGACAAGCCGAGCCAUAGAUCACGCCAUCACCACUAUUGACAGUGGCUCCACACUCGAUCUUUUCUUUCCUUCAUGUUAGAAGAGGGUUGAUUGGAUUGGGUUUUCUCUAGAAUCUAUGGUGGAUCUGUGGUGUUGGGUGGUUGAGUUGUGUUGAAUCUGUGUUUGAUGAUUUUGGCUGAAAUUUAUGGAAGAACAAAUGCCUUUGCCUUGAUCGAUGCUCUCUCCCUUUUUCAAGUCUAAAGCAAAUGAGGCGGUUUCAUCUGCAAAUAAAGUUGAUCGAUUCUGUUGUAGUUGACCAGUGACACAAGUAGAAGCAAAGAAAAUGGCAUUGGUUUUGACACUCACUACGAAUAGGCUUUGCUCGGGCAAAGAUGAAGAUGUGAGGGCUUAAUGUUCUUACUCAAUCUCAAGGUUAGGAGUGCUGCUGAUGCCGUUAAAAGUGUCAUUUCUGCUACCUCUGGUUGUCUGAUAGAGAGCUUGUAUGGUGCAAACUCAAAUUUCCAAAAAUUUUAAGAUGCAUGACUGUUGUCAAAAAACCCAUUUUAGAGAUUGGGACUUAGUUUUGGAUAUGCAGACUAUGUAUUGAUUCCAUUUAUCAGUAGCUCACAGAAUAUUUUCCCUAUCGUAGGAACUGGCUGGUGGCCCUUUCUAUCUAGUGUUAACAGGCUCGAGGGACGCACUCAUUCAUAUUUCAAUGGACUGAUGGAGAUUCCAUGACUGGGUGGUAAUAGACACUUCACCUUUUUGCCCUUAAGAGGUUUGAAUGAAAGAGCAACAGUCAGUCUUCUAGAUGCACACAACAUUGGGAAGAUUGGCUGUAAGUUCAUAUAGAAACACCUCUCUAAUUUCAAGGGGACAGGGCAGCCUGACCCAACCAUAGCUUUUGAUUUCCUCACUGAGACGAGAAUAAGGUGCCAAGACAGUAAUAGAUCCACCAGUCAGCCUUCUUCUCAACUCAUGGAAUCAUUGGAAAUGAGUGAGUCUGCAUGAAUUCACAGCCAAUCAUUAAAAAGGGAAGAGGACUCCUUUUUGCUAAUCAGCACUAGCUGGCUAAUGAGAAGACUGCAAGACUGGUAAGGACUUAUGCUUCAGAUGACAGAUCAACCGCUAGACUGGACUUUGCUUGGGCAAUGACGAGGAUACCAGGGAAUAAUGUUUUGGAUGGAUCUCAAGGUCAGGUCCAACGGAACUGCUCCUUGCCUUUUGUCAGUUCCUAAGUGACAAUCUUGACCAUAAUGAACUCUUGACAUCUUUAUUUUUUCAUACAAGCUUCUCCUUAAGUUCAAUGUUUGAUUGUAGUAGCAAUGACUUCUACAUUUCUUGCGUGUACUAAUUUGAGUCUAUAUAUAAUGGCAACGGCAUAGAGUAGAGAUA